UACGGAGGGUGCAAGCAUUAAUCGGAUUUAUUGGGCGUAAAGGGCGCGUAGGCGGCCGAGCAAGUCUUAGGUGAAAUGCCAAAGCUCAACUUUGGCGCGGCCUGAGAAACUAUUCGGCUUGAGGAUAGACGGGGAAAACGGAAUUCCACAUGUAGCGGUGAAAUGCGUAGAUAUGUGGAGGAACACCGGUGGCGAAAGCGGUUUUCUAGUUUAAGCCUGACGCUGAUGCGCGAAAGCAAGGGUAGCAAAC
rnacentral:rRNA from 1 species